rnacentral:lncRNA from 1 species
CCGGAACUCUGCGUGACGCAUUUCCUUUACAACGUUUGUCUGCUGGGGGGCGCCACCGGUCACGACUCGCGACUCGGAUAACAAAAUCUGCUGCGCGCUUGGCGAGAUAUCCAUUCCGCACUUUUAAA